AACGAACGCUGGCGGAAUGCUUUACACAUGCAAGUCGAACGGCAGCACGGGGGCAACCCUGGUGGCGAGUGGCGAACGGGUGAGUAAUACAUCGGAACGUGCCCAGUCGUGGGGGAUAACGUAGCGAAAGUUACGCUAAUACCGCAUACGAUCUACGGAUGAAAGCGGGGGACCGUAAGGCCUCGCGCGAUUGGAGCGGCCGAUGUCAGAUUAGGUAGUUGGUGAGGUAAAGGCUCACCAAGCCGACGAUCUGUAGCUGGUCUGAGAGGACGACCAGCCACACUGGGACUGAGACACGGCCCAGACGCCUACGGGAGGCAGCAGUGGGGAAUUUUGGACAAUGGGCGAAAGCCUGAUCCAGCCAUUCCGCAUGCAGGAUGAAGGCCCUCGGGUUGUAAACUGCUUUUGUACAGAACGAAAAGGUUUCUACUAAUACUAGGAGCUCAUGACGGUACUGUAAGAAUAAGCACCGGCUAACUACGUGCCAGCCGCCGCCGUAA
rnacentral:rRNA from 1 species